CCCUUAGAUGUCCUGGGCCGCACGCGCGCUACACUGAACGGAUCAGCGCGUUUUCCCUUCCCGAGAGGGACGGGUAACCUGCUGAACCCCGUUCGUGGUAGGGAUCGGGGCUUGCAAUUAUUCCCCGUGAACCAGGAAUGCCCAGUAAGUGCAAGUCAUAAGCUUGCGUUGAUUACGUCCCUGCCCUUUGUACACACCGCCCGUCGCUACUACCGAUUGAAUGGUCCGGUGAAAUCUCGGGACGGCGGCUUGGUCGCUUGCGUCCGACUGCUGAAACUUGAUUAAACCAUAUCAUUUAGAGGAAGGUGAAGUCGUAACA
rnacentral:rRNA from 1 species